GAAUAAAGCAACUCAAUGACAAAGUAAAAUGAUUUUGGGUUUAGAAAUUUGUUAGCAUGGCUAGAUUGAGUUAGUAUGAAUGUGACCUUAUAUGCAUAUUGUGAUGAUUGAUAGGUUGAAAGAAAGGAUGUGUUUUCUUGUGGUCACCAUGGAAUUGGUUAUUCGUCUUUGAGGUGGUUCCGAGAGAAGAAACUAAUGUUGUUAAUUUGAAGUUAGGAGAACAAGGUUAAUUUAGAAGGCUUGGAGGUAUUGUCCAUUCUUGAAAGAAUGGAUAUUUUGUUUAGACACUUAGUCAUCCUACCCAUGUCUCUUGAUCCUAUGGUUGUUUUGGUAUUCAUGCAAAUAUGGUAAAGGUUUGGUCUUGUGACAUCAAAAACAAGUAUGGUUAUUUUGUAUAAAGGUUAACUUGGGUAAAUGACCUGUAUGGAUGUGUAAAUGAUUGUAUGGUACUAUGGUCAAAUGGUCAUUUGAAUUAUGUUGUAAAUUAUGUCAUGUAGUGGUUUGAAAUCAACUUUGAUGUGUUA